rnacentral:lncRNA from 1 species
AUGGCAGCCCUAGCAAAAUAAUUCACAGGCUAUUUACACUUGAACAUGAAUUAUUGAUAGUAGGGAAAAAAAAUGAGCCCUGUAACUUUCCUAGUCUUGAGGAAUAGAGACUACAAACAAAUCAAGUCUUCUGUGGGAAUGCUGGGCCAUGGGCUUUGGAAUCACCACCAGUGAUGGAACCCGAAGUAAGCUACUAAACCUCGACAGGCUCAUUCAUGAAUCACCACCAGUGAUGGAACCCCAGGUGGUCCUGAAAGGAGGAGGUGCUUUGCUUCUCUUUUUCGCAGAUGUCAAUUAUGGAUCAACUUCUGAGUCACAUAGAAGAGCACCAUCAAUUGGCCAUUUCUCACCUGAUCACUGAGGAUAUAAAGUGCUUUUCCAGACUCCAGGACUCGGUUCAUUGCUAGUAUCAGGACGCCUCUCAUGUAUGGGAAGCCAGAAACAUCCCAGGAGCCUCACUGACUGCUUGGGCACAGCCCUCUGAGCAGACCUAUGAAGAAACAGAAGGAUUUGUGCCUUUUAGGUAUCUCUGGUCAAAACAGGUAUUUGAAGUUCUGAUUCUGCUAUUAUCUGGCACCUCCACUUGGCCCAUUGCUGGAAAUAUUAGGACUAGAAAACAUCAAGAUCAGGCACCGAACAGGCAAAUCUCCACUGAGUGGUUCUGAUGUGCAAAUAGCUGAUGAAGACUGGUUAUGGUUAUAAAAUGGAACACAGUUUUCUAAUUACAUAGUGUGUGGGUCUCGUGUGUGUGUGUGUGUGCAUGCAUGUGUGUGCAUGUGUGUGUUCGUGUGUGUGUGUGUGCAUGUAUAUCUAAGGUGCUUCACAUUUAGCUCUCAGCUCUCAGAAUGAGUCCACAUUCUGAGGUAAAUCUAUGGUGUUUGAUACCAACCAAUUUGAGAGAAACAUCUGGUGUCAUUUGCUUUUCUAGAUUCAUUUUUAUAUCUCCAAGACAGAGACA